CAUCUGAGCUUGCGCACAACCUCCUUUUCUUUGGAGAAAAUUAAAAUAAUUAGCUUAAUAGUUCUCUAUCGUGACAGCCAUGUAACAAAGGAAAGGAUUGCGCGCUUCUUGGAAAGGGGAAAUUCCCGACGAUCUUAUAGUCUAUGUGGAGGAUAUAAAGGCAAAGCACACUUCCUCUGUCACAAACACAUUCAACCGAAGACUCUCACAAGAGAAACAACGAUUUCACCAACUCUAUAACUCCAGACAGGGAGCUGAA